GUGGGGAAUAUUGCACAAUGGGCGAAAGCCUGAUGCAGCAACGCCGCGUGAAGGAAGAAGGCCCUUGGGUCGUAAACUUCUGUUCUAAGGGAAGAUAAUGACGGUACCUUAGGAGCAAGUCCCGGCUAACUACGUGCCAGCAGCCGCGGUAAUACGUAGGGGGCGAGCGUUAUCCGGAAUUAUUGGGCGUAAAGAGUACGUAGGUGGUUAUCUAAGCGAGGGGUUUAAGGCAAUAGCUCAACUAUUGUUUGCCCCGCGAACUGGGUGACUUGAGUGCUGGAGAGGAAAGCGGAAUUCCGAGUGUAGCGGUGAAAUGCGUAGAUAGUAGGAGGAACAUCAGUGGCGAAGGCGGCUUUCUGGACAGUAACUGACACUGAGGUACGAAAGUGUGGGGAGCAAACAGGAUUAGAAACCCUAGUAGUCC
rnacentral:rRNA from 1 species